UCUCCUCCCUGUAAGAACCAGGGGACGGAGGCACAAGCUGCCCAGGGCAGCGGCGGCAUCUCCUCUGGGCAGUUCCCAGCAGAGGCUGGAUGGCAUCUGUCUGCGCUGGGGUAGGAACAGAGCAGUCAUUGUAUUAAGCUCCUUCACAACUUGCUUAGAAAAGCAUUAUUAAAUCUAAUGGCCCCAUGCCUCUAUUGCAGCUUUAAUUAUAACAGAAGCAGCUGAGAGGAUAUGGCUAGCAAUCAAUCUCACCAAUGUGGCCGUGGCUCUCUUGAAACUUGAAAAAGGCUCAUCUGACAUCAUGGUGUGAAACCAGAGGGACGCUCACAUUAACCUGUCGCCGUGACCUCGGACAGCGGCGACGACACCGCUGAUGACGGCUUUGCUGCUGAACGCUGCAACGCUGACCAGACUGCAGCGCCUGAAUUAAUUUGCUGUGUUUGCCACCGUCUCUCUGUUGUACUGAAACAUAAUUACUUCAAUGCCGUAAGACCGGUUAAAUCCAUCUGCUUGGCUGCCUGUGGAAAUUAAUGGAGCUUCUUUUCAAUAGAGUAUUUCAAAAUAAAGACAGGCUGCAAAGAAAACAACGUGGCACUCAUUACGGUCCUGAAGGCAGGCGCAGCCUCAUUCAAGCUCCUCAUCUCUGUGUCCCACCGACAGAGCAGGCACGAGCCAGCGAUGCUUCCAGCUCCAGGCAGACCAAGGGCAGCUCAAUGAAACAGAUACCUGGCAAUUAAUUAGCGGUGAGAUUUCGGCACAAGAGAAGCCCUGUUAGCAGAGGUUAACUGGAGCCGGUGCACAUACAGAACAGAAGCUGUGCAAAUACGCUGCGUUGUGAAGGCAGCCACGUGGCAAAGACACACUCCCCGGUCAAGAUGUAAUGAAGCAAAGGUGGAAGUAGAGCCUUUAACUCUGGGGCAGUGUCACAUCAGGCCAGAUCCUCCGUCACACGGCAUCGCUCAGCUCCAGUGCGGUCGGGGGGGGUGGGGGAGAAACAAGGAUCCUUGUACCCCAGCAGCUAGCCAGGCCCCUAGGGGCCUUUGGGGACCAGACAAAGGCUGAAUUGGCACGUGGCAGGCUGGGGUCAGGUGAGCACAGCACCUGCUUGAGCUGAGCUAAGUACCCAAUGACAGCCGUUCAGCAGCUCCCCCAUUCCCAUGCUGUCUCUGGUUUAUGGAGCAGGCACGGCAGCUCAUCUGCUGUGGCCAGCCCGUCCAUACUCGGGUGCAGUCCAGGCUGGGGCAGACCCUUCCAGCCCAGCACGUCUGUGGCCCUGCACUGUGCACCUGAGCAGCUUGGUUUGCAGAGAAGUCGAGUGCCCUAAACCCCAGCUGAUCUCUGCCCAGUGGGCUGCAGGGGUUGCACUGCAGGCUUUCCGGUGGGUUCCCGUGUUGUUUUCCUGCAGGAAGUUAUUUGAAGACCGCACCAGAUGGAAAACCCAGCACUUCCCAGUAGUUUGUUCUGCUCACGGUUUGAUCUCUGGGUUUACAGUUAGGGAAAUACCAAGCACUCUUCCGGGACUGGAGCUUAUAUUCCUGCGAUGGAGUUCACUGGCCUGGCACCAAACCCACAGACCAGCGGUCCUCCUCUAGCAAGUUCCUGGCCGAUUCCAUCUGGUUUAACGUCUUUGGGUUCAUCCCUGGAGGUGCUUGGCAUCAUCGCUGGGGGAGAAGUACUGACAUCCCACGCUGUUGGCCUAGAUUGGGAGGCUGUGAAGGAGGCAGUAAAGCAUGAUUAAGCGGCGGAUGAUGUCUUAAGAGGCCUCGGGAUGAUAAACAAAUAGUUCUUUUUUACCAAUGCAGAACAGCGGCCCAGGAUCAUCUACGGAAAACACUGAAACAAGGCACGCGAUGAAAACAAAGCGUUUUAGGCCAAUGACGGGAUGAAAUCAGCUGCAGUCGGCUGUAACUCUGCAGUGGGCUGGCACGAUCCAAGGGAAGAGCGGAAACAACAGAAUCGCCAUGUCUGGGGUGAAACUGCACCACUAUCAUCUCAGCACCCACGAGGGAGCCGAGCAGCCAGGGGUUUAUCAGACGCAGCAAAGAGCCUGGAACCAUGCUGGUUUAUUCUGGCCUCCUGCGGGCUUGUUGUCAGCACAGGCAAAGUCAAGUGCACCGUACGUGAUUAUCUGGUGCCUAAAUGCUGCAGUGAUGGAUGCUCUCCGAGCUACAAUCUCUCCCCUAAUCCAGUUCCUCGCGUUUCUGGAAUUGGAUCAAGCCCGGCCGGCUAAAAAUGACCUCCUGGAGGGAGCUCCCACCGGCUGCCGUGCCAGGGCCCAGCUCCAGCCUCCUCCAGGCAUUCGGAGUCAGGACAGACCUGGUGCAAUCACUGAAGGGGUCCAGGGAACUGUGACCAGGACUCAAGUUAGGGGAGAUGCUGAGCUACUUGGCGGGGUCUCCUUGGACCCUGACCAGAUAGGUCUCGUUACCUCCACUUCACAGAUUCACAGGAGUUAUAACCUGGCAACCACCUCAUCUACUCCAGCCCUGCACCUUGGGCAGGACUGAUUAUACCUCCUCCAGCCCCGGCAACUAUUUGUCCAACCUGCUCUCAAAACCUUCCCGUGAAGAACGUGUCCCCACAGGGAGCCCGCUCCAAUGCUGCACGCUUUAUAGAUUGAAGUCUCUUUUCUAUACAAUCUAAUUCUUCUUUGCUAGACCUUAGGCUGGUUCCUCCCUGGUCUUCCAUCAGCGGACAGCUGAUUGCCGUUGCCUUCGCAAGGACCUCUCACGUCCUAGAGGACUGCUAUCAUGUCUCCCCUCUUGCCUACGCUCCGGAGACUUGGUUCCUUCAGUGCUUCCUCCCAGACCUUGUUUUCCAAGCCUCUCCUUGCUCUGUUUUUCUUCACAACUACCCCACAUUUUUAAGAUGCCAGAUGAGGCCUUGCAGUUACUGAGGGGAGAGGAAUAAAUACUCCUGGGUCGUAUAAGCAACACUGCUGUGAAGCCCUCGCAAAAGGACGGUGGCCUGUUCUGCAACAGCAUCACAGCCCCGGCUCCAGUUCACUACAUGGUGCGCAACAGCCCCUGGUCCUCUUCUGGCUUGUUGGUUUGAGGGGUAUCAACCUCACUAUGGGGGCAACCCCACGUUGUCUACUAUUUUUUCAUCCUGUGAAGCUUUUAAGUGCUUGGUUACACAAAUAUUAGUCUGGGUUAAUUUAGAUCGAGAUGAUCAUGCCUUGAAUAGCAGGUAGGACUAGAUGGCCUCCUGAGGUCAUCCAUCAUCCAAGUCACCCAUGAAAAUACUGGAUAGUACCAGACCCAUGACAGAUCCCUGUGGGACUUGAUACAGCCUCAUAUUUGACAGCAAGCUGCUGACAGCUACCUUCUGAGUGCACAUUUUCAAACAGCUUGCGGACCACAGGGAAUCACAGACUCAUAGGGCUGGAAGGGACCCCAAAGGAUCAUCGGGUCCAGCCCCCUGCACGAGCAGGAAAGACAUCUGGGGUCCGAUGACCCCAGCCAGGUGACCGUCCAGUCUUCUCUUGAAGACCUCCGGGGUAGAUGAUUGCACCACCUCUGUGGGCAGCUUGUUCCAUAGUCUGGACACCCCGGUUGUGAAGAAGUUUUUCCUAAUGUUCAGCCUGAAACUAUCUUCCAGGCGUUUGUGACCGUUGUUUCUAGUUUCCCCCCAGGGCACCCUGGUGAACAGUUGUUCACCGAGCCCCUGAUGUACGCUUCUGAUAUAGCAGUAAGCCGCAAUCAGGUCCCCUCUCGGCCUUCUUUUCUUUAGGUUGAAGGGUGUGAGAUCCCUCAGCCUCUCCUUGUAUGUCUUGCCAUGCGAGUUCCUGAUUAUGUGGGUGGCCCUUCUCUGGACCCUCUCGAGCUUUAGCACAUCCUUGCUGAAGUGCAGUGCUCACAAAUGGACGCACUACUCCAGCUGCGGCCACACCAAUGUUGAGUAAAGAGGGAGAAUCACUUCUUUGGAUUUACUGGAGAUGCAUCGAUUGAUGCAUGCCAGGGUUUUUUUGGCCCUACUGGCUACUGUGUCGCAUUGUGUGUUUGCAAGCAGGUAUUGAGGGCCAGUGCCCAAAGCCCCACUAAGGGGACUCAGCCGGUGGCCAGACCUGGUGGUAGACGUCCCAGGCCCUUGGGUGCUCUUGGCUAUAGGAACUGCAGUGCCUCGACCAUGCCAGGCCGAGGAGGACCUCUGCCCUUUUCAUUCUCAACACACCCAUGCCAGCUGGUUUUUAUCACCUCGUUCCCUACUAGACGCUUAGAAACCGAUUGUUUAAUAAAUCAUUCUGGACUCAAGCACAGCCGAGCAAUGAAAAGGUUGUAAAUCUCUAAGAGAAGCAGAGUUUACGAGGUGAAGGAACGGCUUUUGUUGGACCAACGUAUGCAGCGGGGAGGCAGGCGUUUGGGGGGGAGCGCCCCUCACCAGCCGAGAGCAAGGGAGCCGAGAGCAGCCGGAGAAAGGGGAAACCCGGGAGGCUAUGAAUAAAGGGACCAGCUGAAGGGAGCCGCCUGAUCUCUUCAAAGUCCUUUCAAGAUGAGCAAGGGCAGAAGGAGGUGUUUUUAGGCCAGAAGGGCCCAUGACGACCUGAGGACACCUGAGGAAGGGCAGUUUGUGCCUGAAAGCUUGCCCUAUGCAGUCAGUCCAAUAAAAGGGAUCAUCAGUGAGCCCGUGCCUCGUAUGCAUUUCCUGGACUAUCACGGCUACCAUCACGCUCUAACAACCUCGCUGGGUAACGUGCCCAAGUGAAUCACUCCUGUUUGUCUUUUAGAAAGGGACAUGUGGUCCUCAUCGUAGGAGCUGGAGUGGUUGGGCACAAGCUGCCCGGAUCUUAUUCUGCCUUUUUCCACUCAAUUAAGGAGCUGUCGACUGUUAGCAACCUCAUCCCCCGGUCAGUACUUGCAGGCUGUGAUCACGUCACCUCUUGACAUUUUUUCAAUAAAUAACAUAAAUCGAG